GCAACUAAGCGGUAAGACCACUGUGGGUUCCUCUGGUGUUCCCUUCCAUAGGUUAGCUAAGUCAGAGGGCAACGCACCCACAGGGCACGCUCUUUUU
rnacentral:ncRNA from 1 species